UACAGAGGGGGCAAGCGUUAUUCGGAAUUAUUGGGCGUAAAGGGCGCGUAGGCGGCUUGGCAAGUGGAUGGUGAAAUCCCUCGGCUUAACCGAGGAACUGCCAUCCAGACUGCUUUGCUUGAGGCCGGGAGAGGUGAGUGGAAUUCCCAGUGUAGCGGUGAAAUGCGUAGAUAUUGGGAGGAACACCAGUGGCGAAGGCGGCUCACUGGACCGGUACUGACGCUGAUACGCGAAAGCGUGGGGAGCAAACAGG
rnacentral:rRNA from 1 species